AGUGAACGCUGGCGGUAGGCCUAACACAUGCAAGUCGAACGGCAGCACAGUAAGAGCUUGCUCUUACGGGUGGCGAGUGGCGGACGGGUGAGGAAUACAUCGGAAUCUACUUUUUCGUGGGGGAUAACGUAGGGAAACUUACGCUAAUACCGCAUACGACCUACGGGUGAAAGCAGGGGAUCUUCGGACCUUGCGCGAUUGAAUGAGCCGAUGUCGGAUUAGCUAGUUGGCGGGGUAAAGGCCCACCAAGGCGACGAUCCGUAGCUGGUCUGAGAGGAUGAUCAGCCACACUGGAACUGAGAAACGGUCCAGAUUCCUACGGGAGGAAGAAGUGGGGAAUAUUGGACAAUGGGCGCAAGCCUGAUCCAGCCAUACCGCGUGGGUGAAGAAGGCCUUCGGGUUGUAAAGCCCUUUUGUUGGGAAAGAAAAGCAGCAGGUUAAUACCCCGCUGUUCUGACGGUACCCAAAGAAUAAGCACCGGCUAACUUCGUG
rnacentral:rRNA from 1 species